GUGCUUGCUUUGACAGCACAUAAACUAAAAGUGGAACAACACAGAGAAGAUUAACAUGGCCCCUGUGCAAGGAUGACAUACAAAUUUGUGAAGCAUUCUAUAUUUUU